AUUACAUCACAUGGAGAAGAUUUUAAUCUUUGUGACAACAACAUUUGGAAGACAGACUCGCAUGCAAGUACAAUUUUGUACACAGAGUUCGAAGGGUCCUCAGUAGAGUCAUAUAGUGCUUUUCUGCACAUGUUGCAGUCAAAUUGACGUUCCAUUUUCACAACACAAUAUCCAGCAAUGUAUGCAAGACUUUGGAUUUUGUUCAAUUUGACAAUUUUGGUCCUCCAAUGUGGUUGAAGGAAGAAGUGAACAGUUGGAUGAUAAAGAAGCUGUCACACCACCACUUUUUAUGACG
rnacentral:lncRNA from 1 species